rnacentral:rRNA from 1 species
GACGAACCGUCCUAACGUUGUUCGGAAUCACUGGGCUUAAAGGGCGCGUAGGCGGCCUUGAAAGUCGGGGGUGAAAUCCCACGGCCUAACCGUGGAAGUGCCUCCGAUACUGCAAGGCUCGAGGGAGGUAGGGGCAGCUGGAACUUCCGGUGGAGCGGUGAAAUGCGUUGAUAUCGGAAGGAACGCCGGUGGCGAAAGCGAGCUGCUGGACCUCUGCUGACGCUGAGGCGCGAAAGCCGGGGGAGCAAACGGG